rnacentral:lncRNA from 1 species
CUGGGAAAUGUUGAAGCUGAUAGCUCCAGGUAUUUCUAAACUCGUCAGGUUCCGGUUUGGAAGAACCACCUCGACUGGCUUGCCGUACAAGUAGUAGUGGUAGACGUAGUCUUUCCCGUACAUCCCACUGAAAUAGGUGGCAAUCCUCAAGUAGGUGCCAUCAAUGAACCUAGGCCCCGAUGCGUCCUUUCCCAAGGGAACAUUCAGAAAUUGGAGCAGUGGUGUGAUCAUUCCGCCUAUCCCUAUCUUUGGGCGCGAAUCAG